rnacentral:rRNA from 1 species
CCUAGGGGAGGCAGCAGUGGGGAAUUUUGGACAAUGGGGGCAACCCUGAUCCAGCCAUGCCGCGUGAGUGAAGAAGGCCUUCGGGUUGUAAAGCUCUUUCGGCCGGGAAGAAAUCGCACAGGUUAAUACUCUGUGUGGAUGACGGUACCGGCAUAAGAAGCACCGGCUAACUACGUGCCAGCAGCCGCGGUAAU